rnacentral:rRNA from 1 species
AACGAACGCUGGCGGCAGGCCUAACACAUGCAAGUCGAACGUGAAGCCACCUUCGGGUGGUGGAAAGUGGCAGCCGGGUGAGUAACGCGUGGGAACGUGCCUUUCGGUUCGGAAUAACCCAGGGAAACUUGGGCUAAUACCGGAUACGCCCUUCGGGGGAAAGAUUUAUCGCCGAAGGAUCGGCCCGCGUCGGAUUAGCUAGUUGGUAGGGUAAUGGCCUACCGAGGCGACGAUCCGUAGCUGGUCUGAGAGGAUGACCAGCCACACUGGGACUGAGACACGGCCCAGACUCCUACGGGAGGCAGCAGUGGGGAAUAUUGGACAAUGGGCGAAAGCCUGAUCCAGCCAUGCCGCGUGGGUGAAGAAGGCCCUAGGGUUGUAAACCCCUUUCAGCGGGGAAGAUAAUGACGGUACCCGCAGAAGAAGCCCCGGCUAACUCCGUGCCAGCAGCCGCAGUAA